AAGCUUUGGCAGCACAUAUCUUAAAAUUGGAAUGAUACAGAGAAGAUAAGCAUGGCCCCAGCGCAAGGAAGACACACAAAUUCGUGAAGUGCUCCACAUUUUU